rnacentral:rRNA from 1 species
UACGUAGGCAGCAAGCGUUGUUCGGAGUUUACUGGGCGUAAAGGGUGUGUAGGCGGUUUGUUUUAAGUUUGGUGUGAAAUCUCCCGGCUCAACCGGGAGGGUGCGCCGAAUACUGAGUGACUAGAGUGCGGGAGAGGAAAGUGGAAUUUCCUGGUGUAGCGGUGAAAUGCGUAGAUAUCAGGAGGAACACCGGUGGUGUAGACGGCUUUCUGGACCGUAACUGACGCUGGAGACACGAAAGCGUGGGUAGCAAACAGG